rnacentral:rRNA from 1 species
CCUACGGGAGGCAGCAGUGAGGAAUCUUUGUCAAUGGCCGUAAGGCUGAACCAGCCAAGUAGCGUGAGGGAAGACUGCCCUAUGGGUUGUAAACCUCUUUUAUGCGGGGAUAAAGGUGUCCGCGUGUGGAUGUUUGCAGGUACCGCAUGAAUAAGGACCGGCUAAUUCCGUGCCCACAGCCGCGGUAAUACGGAAUGUCCGGGCGUUGUCCGGAUGUAUGGGGGUUAAGGGGAGCGUAGCGCGUUCUGUAAGCGUGCCGUGAAAUUUUGGGGCUCAACCAUGAGAGUGCGGCGCGAACUGGAGACCUUGAGUGCGCGGAAGGCAGGCGGAAUUCGUGGUGUAGCAGUGAAAUGCUUAGAGAUCACGAAGAACCCCGAUUGCGAAGGCAGGCUGCCGCAGCGUUACUGACGCUGAAGCUCGAAAGCGCGGGUAUCGAACAGGAUUAGAUACCCGAGUAGUC